UCAGAGGUGCGGCGAGUGGAGCUAUGGUGCGUUUGUCUCAGUGUCACUUGACAGGAAGGAGGCUUUUCUCCAUGAGCAAGGACAACAAACAAACCAGCCAAAGGAAGAAGUCGAGGGUCGAGCAGAGAAAAGGAUGACUGUUGGCCGAAGAGGGGCUCCUUAGCCGUGUGAAUAUCGGAUAGGGUGAGGAGGGGUGAGGACAUCAGAGAUUGCGGGGAUUCAGAGGGCCUCAUAUCCGAGUGCAGGGAUUCCCCCAGCCUUCUCUGACAAUAGGGCAGGAAGGAAGGAGUGUGCAGGCUGCAGGAGCGGGCCAGGCGGUAACGAGAGACAGGAUAGAGUUCCAUGAGAGACGUGUGGGACAGUGGGGGCACAAGGAGAGAAGAGGAAGAGGAGCAUCUUGGCUAAUAAAGUUUCCAAAACGCCGUGUGUGUGUACUGUAGAUAUUGUAAUACACAGGACCCUGGCAGAUGUCCACUAUAAACAUCCAUGCAUACACACAGACAGACAGACACUUAAAGUACAUGUUGUAUGCUAUUCAGAUUGGUUGUGGCUUGUCUCAAAUUUAAAUGUCUUCAGAUGCAAAAUAAGGGC